rnacentral:rRNA from 1 species
UACGUAGGUGGCAAGCGUUGUCCGGAUUUACUGGGCGUAAAGCGUGUGCAGGCGGCUUAUCAAGUGGUGUAUGAAAUAUCCAGCUCAACCUGGAGGGGUUAUGCCAGACUGGUAGGCUAGAGUGCGAGAGAGGGGCGUGGAAUUCCCGGUGUAGUGGUGAAAUGCGUAGAUAUCGGGAGGAACACCAGUGGCGAAGGCGACUACCUGGCCUGUUCUUGACGCUGAGGCGCGAAAGCUAGGGGAGCAAACGGG